CUGUCAUGUUCUUCGUCCUCUCGCUGACUUCUACAUCAAGGCCUACAGGAAGGGACUAAAGAAAGGAGCUGCAAAAUCCAAGGGUCUGGAAAUCGGGACAUCUGCUGGAGCGUCCAACGGCAUCGGAACGAAGCUCCCCAACGGAAGCGUUGCGACGAAACCGGAGUGAAGUUGGCCAACGGCUUCGGCGAGGGAACUUCGCUGAAGUACAGAGCUCAAACAUAGAUGGCACCACUGUGCAAUGCUCAGCCCACUGAUGCGACCCCCACCCCCCCCCCCCCCACCCCCCCCCCCCCC